rnacentral:misc_RNA from 1 species
GAUGAAGAACGUAGCGAAAUGCGAUAACUAAUGUGAAUUGCAGAAUUCAGGGAAUCAUCGAGUCUUUGAACGCACAUUGCGCCCCCUGGUAUUCCGGGGGGCAUGCCUGUCCGAGCGUCAUUGCUGCCCUCAAGCACGGCUUGUGUGUUGGGCUCCGUCCCCCCGGGGACGGGCCCGAAAGGCAGCGGCGGCACCGAGUCCGGUCCUCGAGCGUAUGGGGCUUUGUCACCCGCUCUGUAGGCCCGGCCGGCGCCAGCCGACAACCCAUCAUCCUUUUCAGGUUGACCUCGGAUCAGGUAGGGAUACCCGCUGAACUUAAGCAUAUCAAUAAGCGGAGGA